CCUUUGAAAGGUCCUACUUGAGUCGGCCGGCUGAGUCUUGUGUGACUUCCCUUCCAACUUGGGGAUGCCGAGUGUCCAUAAAACUUCCAAAACUUGCUCUUCUUAUUUGUUCCAGUAACUGGGACUGAUUGUUUUGAAGUCCUCCCAAGAGGCCCUGAGUGAAAAUUGGCACUUGUAUGCUUUCCUGAAAUUGGACUUGACUUUGUCGAUGAGCUACCGAGAGGACCUGAAUGAGAAAUGCUGGUCUUAUUUGUUCUACCAAUCGGACCUGAUCUAGCAGUAACAGCAUUAAGGGGUCCUGAAGAGUAUCUGACAUUAUUAUUCUUAUCUCGACACAGAUCAAACGUUCAAUGAAAUGCUCAUCAUCUGAAACAAGCUUUAUUAUGCCCUCUGAACUUGAGAUCUCCUCUUUCAACUUCACAAUCUGUUUAUCAGUCAGAGACUGCCAUAAAAUAACCAGCUUGGACAUCAAGCUGGCCACUUCAAAUGCUAAUACUCUAAUAAACACCU